rnacentral:rRNA from 1 species
UGAGGAAUAUUGGUCAAUGGCCGCAAGGCUGAACCAGCCAAGUCGCGUGAGGGAAUAAGGCCCUACGGGUCGUAAACCUCUUUUGUCCGGGAGCAAAGGGCGGUACGAGUACCGUCAUAGAGAGUACCGGAAGAAAAAGCAUCGGCUAACUCCGUGCCAGCAGCCGCGGUAAUACGGAGGAUGCGAGCGUUAUCCGGAUUUAUUGGGUUUAAAGGGUGCGUAGGCGGACUUACAAGUCAGCGGUAAAAUUUCGGGGCUCAACCCCGUACCGCCGUUGAAACUGUGAGACUUGAGUGAGCGAGAAGUAUGCGGAAUGCGUGGUGUAGCGGUGAAAUGCAUAGAUAUCACGCAGAACCCCGAUUGCGAAGGCAGCAUACCGGCGCUCAACUGACGCUGAGGCACGAAAGUGCGGGGAUCAAACAGG